GGGUAAUUAGCUCAGUUGGUAGAGCAUCUCGUUUACACCGAGAAAGUCAGCGGUUCAAGUCCGUUAUUGCCUA
rfam:Bacterium TMED88 isolate TMED88 MHASMcontig_369914, whole genome shotgun sequence.